rnacentral:rRNA from 1 species
GAUGAACGCUGGCGGCGUGCUUAACACAUGCAAGUCGAACGGUGAAAGAGAGCUUGCUCUCUGGAUCAGUGGCGAACGGGUGAGUAACACGUGAGCAAUCUGCCCCUGACUCUGGGAUAAGCGCUGGAAACGGCGUCUAAUACCGGAUACGAGCUGCGAAGGCAUCUUCAGCAGCUGGAAAGAACUUCGGUCAGGGAUGAGCUCGCGGCCUAUCAGCUAGUUGGUGAGGUAACGGCUCACCAAGGCGUCGACGGGUAGCCGGCCUGAGAGGGUGACCGGCCACACUGGGACUGAGACACGGCCCAGACUCCUACGGGAGGCAGCAGUGGGGAAUAUUGCACAAUGGGCGAAAGCCUGAUGCAGCAACGCCGCGUGAGGGACGACGGCCUUCGGGUUGUAAACCUCUUUUAGCAGGGAAGAAGCGAAAGUGACGGUACCUUCAGAAAAAGCGCCGGCUAACUACGUG